rnacentral:ncRNA from 1 species
CGACCUCAGAUUAGGUGGGAUUCCCCCGCUGAAUUUAAGCAUAUUUAGUAAGCGGUGGGAAAAAGAAACCAACAGGGAUUCCCUUUAGUAGCUGCGAGUGAACAGGGAUUAGCCCAGCACUGAAUCCCAAAAGCAUUGCUUUUAGGGAAAUGUAGUGUUUGGGAGGGCUCAAUUAACCCCAAGAUAUGUGCAUUUCGCCCAAGUCCAUCUUGA